rnacentral:rRNA from 1 species
CCUACGGGAGGCAGCAGUGGGGAAUUUUGGACAAUGGGCGAAAGCCUGAUCCAGCAAUGCCGCGUGAGUGAAGAAGGCCUUCGGGUUGUAAAGCUCUUUUGUCAGGGAAGAAACGGUGAGAGCUAAUAUCUCUUGCUAAUGACGGUACCUGAAGAAUAAGCACCGGCUAACUACGUGCCAGCAGCCGCGGUAAUACGUAGGGUGCAAGCGUUAAUCGGAAUUACUGGGCGUAAAGCGUGCGCAGGCGGUUUUGUAAGUCUGAUGUGAAAUCCCCGGGCUCAACCUGGGAAUUGCAUUGGAGACUGCAAGGCUAGAAUCUGGCAGAGGGGGGUAGAAUUCCACGUGUAGCAGUGAAAUGCGUAGAUAUGUGGAGGAACACCGAUGGCGAAGGCAGCCCCCUGGGUCAAGAUUGACGCUCAUGCACGAAAGCGUGGGGAGCAAACAGGAUUAGAUACCCUGGUAGUCCACGCCCUAAACGAUGUCUACUAGUUGUCGGGUCUUAAUUGACUUGGUAACGCAGCUAACGCGUGAAGUAGACCGCCUGGGGAGUACGGUCGCAAGAUUAAAACUCAAAAUGAAAUUGACGG